AGCGAACGCUGGCGGCAGGCUUAACACAUGCAAGUCGAGCGGGCACUUCGGUGUCAGCGGCAGACGGGUGAGUAACACGUGGGAACGUACCCUUUGGUUCGGAAUAACGCUGGGAAACUAGCGCUAAUACCGGAUACGCCCUUUUGGGGAAAGGCUUGCUGCCGAAGGAUCGGCCCGCGUCUGAUUAGCUAGUUGGUGGGGUAAUGGCCUACCAAGGCGACGAUCAGUAGCUGGUCUGAGAGGAUGAUCAGCCACACUGGGACUGAGACACGGCCCAGACUCCUACGGGAGGCAGCAGUGGGGAAUAUUGGACAAUGGGCGCAAGCCUGAUCCAGCCAUGCCGCGUGAGUGAUGAAGGCCUUAGGGUUGUAAAGCUCUUUUGUCCGGGACGAUAAUGACGGUACCGGAAGAAUAAGCCCCGGCUAACUUCG
rnacentral:rRNA from 1 species